GACGAACGCUGGCGGCACGCUUAACACAUGCAAGUCGAACGAGAGAAGAGAAGCUUGCUUUUCUGAUCUAGUGGCGGACGGGUGAGUAACACGUGAGCAAUCUGCCUUUCAGAGGGGGAUACCGAUUGGAAACGAUCGUUAAUACCGCAUAAUAUAAUUGAACCGCAUGAUUUGAUUAUCAAAGAUUUAUCGCUGAAAGAUGAGCUCGCGUCUGAUUAGCUAGUUGGUAAGGUAACGGCUUACCAAGGCGACGAUCAGUAGCCGGACUGAGAGGUUGAUCGGCCACAUUGGGACUGAGACACGGCCCAGACUCCUACGGGAGGCAGCAGUGGGGAAUAUUGCACAAUGGAGGAAACUCUGAUGCAGCGAUGCCGCGUGAGGGAAGAAGGUUUUAGGAUUGUAAACCUCUGU
rnacentral:rRNA from 1 species